UAUUAUUCUAAAAGAUUUAAGUUCCUAGGUUAGUAGUAGUUAUUUACUUAAAAGCUAAAAAAUUUGGCGGUAAUUUAAUCUUUUCARAGGAACUUGUUUUUUAAUCGAUAAUCCGCGAAAUAUCUUGCUUAUUCUAAUAAGGUUUGUAUACCAUCAUUAUCAGGUAAUUUUAAAAAAAUAAAUUACUAAGGCUGAAGGGUUAAUAAAAUUARAUCAUGGUGCAGCUAAUGAAUAAGUUAAAAUGAGUUACAAUAAAAUUUUUUAUACGGAUAAGUAGUGGAARAAACUAUUUAARAAGGAGGAUUUGGUUGUACUCUAAGUUUAAUACCCUUAGGGGAUGAUANCUCUAAAUUAUGUACNUNU
rnacentral:rRNA from 1 species